UAAUACGAAGGGUGCUAGCGUUGUUCGGAAUCACUGGGCGUAAAGCGCGCGUAGGCGGCUUUGCAAGUCAGAGGUGAAAUCCUGAGGCUUAACCUCAGAAUUGCCUUUGAAACUGCAAGGCUGGAGUACUGGAGAGGAAUGCGGAAUUACUAAUGUAGCGGUGAAAUGCGUAGAUAUUAGUAGGAACACCGAUGGCGAAGGCAGCAUUCUGGACAGUUACUGACGCUGAGGCGCGAAAGCGUGGGGAUCAAACAGGAUUAGAUACCCUGGUAGUCCACGCUGUAAACGAUGGGUGCUAGCUGUUGUGGUGUCAUGCCACAGUGGCGUAGCUAACGCGUUAAGCACCCCGCCUGGGGAGUACGGUCGCAAGAUUA
rnacentral:rRNA from 1 species